GGUGCAGGUGGCUUUGUAAGUCAGGUGUGAAAGCCCAGGGCUCAACCCUGGAAGUGCACUUGAUACUGCGAAGCUUGAGUGUAGGAGAGGUUACUAGAAUUCUUGGUGUAGUGGUGAAAUACGUAGAUAUCAAGAGGAAUACCGGUGGCGAAGGCGGGUAACUGGCCUAACACUGACACUCAGACCCGAAAGCGUGGGGAUCAAACA
rnacentral:rRNA from 1 species